GACUCCGUGGCGCAACGGACUCCAGAUCAGAAGGCUGCGUGUUCAAAUCAUGUCGGGGUCG
rnacentral:tRNA from 1 species